AGACGGAGGGUGCAAACGUUGUUCGGAAUUACUGGGCAUAAAGCGCACGCAGGCGGCUCGCUAAGUCGGAUGUGGAAGCCCUCGGCUCAACCGGGGAAUUGCAUUCGAUACUGGCGGGCUUGAGGACGGUUGGGGUGAGUGGAACUCCUGGUGGAGCGGUGAAAUGCGUAGAUAUCAGGAGGAACACCAGUGGCGAAAGCGGCUCACUGGACCGUUUCUGACGCUGAGGUGCGAAAGCUAGGGUAGCGAACGGAAUUAGAAACCCCGGUAGUCC
rnacentral:rRNA from 1 species